GAAGUAAAUGUUUAUGAAAAAGCUGCUAACUUUAUCUAAUAAUGGUUAAAUUCCAUUUAUACUUCU
rnacentral:tRNA from 1 species